UUAUGGCCACAUCACAUUGAAACACUGGAUCACAUAUGGUCACCAAAGUUAAGCAACAUUGAGCCUGGUCAGUACCUAGAUGGGUGACUGCUUGGGAACACCAAGUGCAGUAA